UGAAUGGACUGGUGAAGGUUGUCUCUGGAUACAAGAAUUGCAGACUUCCUUGUUCUUAUCUUUCUAAUAGAAUCCAGGAUGCAAGAUCUUCAUAAAAGAUUUAUUAUACAGAUAGGAAUACACAGAAACUAAAUCCAAGUGAAAAUAAACGCUACAGCACAGGUACACUGACGCAUUUCGACUGUAGCCUUUUUAAAAGUUUAUGUCCAUUCAGGGCUUGUCCUCCUUUAAAUAUGUCAGAUAUUUGCGCUUUUUUCUGCGCCGAUAUCAGACUCCUUCCGCUUCCGAUGUCGGAACGUAUUCUUACAAUGCAUCCUUGCUUUCUGACAUCGUAUCUCCCUCUCUUCCUUCCGCAUUCGUCAUCAAUGACAUGGGGGUAUUCCAUAUAUUGGACGGAAUAGUUCAUUAAAAUCCUAUAGUGUAAAUGCCCAAAACCAAAAUGGGGCCACAGCGUUUACCAUGGGACAAUACAAAAUUACAUACCUAUAAAUAUCUUUAUUAUAAUAAAAACACCAAAGGAUAGUAAAAAUUAAAACCAAAUCAUAUUAAAAACAAAAUAUGAAAACAAAUAUAGGUAAAAAGAGAU